rnacentral:piRNA from 1 species
UGGGUAAGCCUGUGACUUAGUCUUAUCAA